AAGACUAUAGACCUGCGGAGUACCUGCGGAAGGAUCAUUACUGAGUUUCACAACUCUCUAACCCUGUGUGAACUGAAGUCUGGUUGCUCAGGCAGGCGGCCCCCGGGGGGAGCCGCAGCUUCUCUGAAGCGCCUGCCGGAGGAUACCUAAACUCGUUUUAACAUAUAAUCUUCUGAGUAAUAAAAAAAAAAUGAAUCAAAACUUUUAACAAUGGAUCUCU
rnacentral:misc_RNA from 1 species